rnacentral:rRNA from 1 species
GACGAACGCUGGCGGCGUGCUUAACACAUGCAAGUCGAACGGUAAGGCCCUUCGGGGUACACGAGUGGCGAACGGGUGAGUAACACGUGGGUGAUCUGCCCUGCACUUCGGGAUAAGCCUGGGAAACUGGGUCUAAUACCGGAUAGGACCACUGCCUGCAUGGGUGGUGGUGGAAAGCUUUUGCGGUGUGGGAUGGGCCCGCGGCCUAUCAGCUUGUUGGUGGGGUGAUGGCCUACCAAGGCGACGACGGGUAGCCGGCCUGGGAGGGUGACCGGCAACACGGGGACUGAGAUACGGCCCAGACUCCUACGGGAGGCAGCAGUGGGGAAUAUUGCACAAUGGGCGCAAGCCUGAUGCAGCGACGCCGCGUGAGGGAUGACGGCCUUCGGGUUGUAAACCUCUUUCAGCACCGACGAAGCGCAAGUGACGGUAGGUGCAGAAGAAGGACCGGCCAACUACGUGCCAGCAGCCGCCGUAA